GGGCGAUUAGCUCAGUCGGUAGAGCGCCUGCCUUACAAGCAGGAUGUCGGCAGUUCGAAUCUGUCAUCGCCCACCA
rnacentral:tRNA from 1 species